AUUGAACGCUGGCGGCAGGCUUAACACAUGCAAGUCGAACGAGCGGCGGACGGGUGAGUAAUGUAUGGGGGCUGCCCGAUAGAGGGGGGUAACUACUGGAAACGGUAGCUAAUACCGCAUACUAUCGGAUAACCCAUAUGGGGUUAGCUAGUUGGUGAGGUAAUGCCUCACCAAGGCGACGAUCCCUAGCUGGUCUGAGAGGGUGAUCAGCCACACGGGGACUGACACACGGCCCAGACUCCUACGGAGGCAGCAGUGGGGAAUAUUGCGCAAUGGGGGCAACCCUGGCGCAGCCAUGCCGCGGAAAUGAAGAAGGCCUUCGGGUUGUAAAGUUCUUUCGGUAGCGAGGCGUUAACUACAGAAGAAGCACCGGCUAACUCCGUGCCAGCAGCCGCGGUAAC
rnacentral:rRNA from 1 species